UCAAAAGAUGAACGGCAAACCGGGAAGACGAGACUUUUCAGCCUGGGACACAUGAAAGACACUGGGCUAAUUUCCUUAACAAAUGAAGAGCUCUUGGAAACCAACAAUAUAAACUAAACCAAGAAAGAAAAAUGGGCAAAGGGGAGAAAACUUGCAAUUCGCAGGAAAAUGUAAAUGGCUGGAGGACCUACGGAGGAUUCCCGACCUGACUCUUUGCAUAAAGAAAUGCAAACCCAAAACACCGGAUAAAUGUGGUUUAUGGGAGCAGGUAGUCUCGCACACUGCUGCGCUGUUAUCCAUCAGCCCUCAUCACAGAUCUUCCACUGCAUGAAUCCACUGCAGUGCCAUUUAGUAAAAUAGCAAGAACUUGAGAGAUGAAUAACGAGUAAAAACGCGACCCUGUCUCUGACACAGGGAAAUCCUAUGAAACCUGGGAGAAUAAUGAGGUAAAACUGUAUGGGACUAUUAAAGACCGAUGUCUCAGUAGAUUUAGUGAAAUACAAAAGUUGCUGACGUUUGUAGAAACGAACUGGCUCCUUUCAUGUCAGGAGAGUCUCCCACCCCAGCUCCUGUCUUAUACAAUGAGCCUGGGACCACGAUUUGAACGGGGUGCUUCUAUACCUCAUUACCCCACAAAGGUCAAAUUCUUAACUAUCUCUGCCUAUUUCAAGAUCAGAAGUCCAGCAGAUUUAUGUCUUCAACUCCAUACAUCUUUGCAUUUUUCUGUUCAAUUUUUGGUCCAUAUGACAUCUUAUUUCUAUCAUCACAAGAUUACAUUAAAAAGAGAUUAGUUUGAAGUGUGGACUCACAAAUUCAUAGCAUCAUCUUAAUCAAAAGUAUUGUCUUCUAAAUUGUUCACAACAGUAGUUUUCACUUCUUUCCCAAGAGCACAGUGGCAUUUUCCUGAGGCUAUAUGACCUGUAGCAUAACAGAUUCAAUGCUAAAGCAGAAUCCAUAUGUUUUCUAUUAAGUCAGAUGCUAAAGUGAUUUGUAAAGGUGUAAAACAAUGCAACUCUUCUCAGUAACCUUUUGUUCUGAAAAUUAAGUCAUUUUUUAAUUUAAAAAAUGUUGCUUAUAUUAACUUGUAAUGGGUUUACUACUGUUAUUUUAAAUUAAUAAAUACACAUUUAAAUUGUGA